GUCUUCGUGGCUCAGUUGGUUAGAGCGUUGGUCUCAUAUCAAUAACUGAUGUGACGGCAUCUUUAGAUGUUGAUACAUCCAAAGGUCGCGAGUUCGAGUCUCGCCGAGGACA
rnacentral:tRNA from 1 species